AGCCCGCUCGCCGGAAAGACCGAAGGUUCCUGUCCAACGUUAAUCGGGGCAGGUGAGUACGACCCUAAGGCGAGGCCGAAAGGCGUAGUCGAUGGGAAACAGGUUAAUAUUCCUGUACUUGGUGUUACUGGCGAAGGGGGACGGAGAAGGCUAUGUUAGCCGGGCGACGGUUGUCCCGGUUUAAGCAUGUAGGCUGGUUAUCCAGGCAAAUCCGGAUAAUCAAGGCUGAGGUGUGAUGACGAGGCACUACGGUGCUGAAGUAACAA
rnacentral:rRNA from 1 species